rnacentral:rRNA from 1 species
AGCUUUAUGGAAUAACAUAAAGUACCUCCUGCUCAGUGCAAAUAAACAGCCGCAGAAUUUUUAUACUGUGCUAAGGUAGCAUAAUCACUUGUCUUCUAAUUAAAGAAUAGAAUGAACGGAAAAACGAAUUUUAAUCUGUUUCAACUUUUUUUUAUAAAAUUACCAAAAAGUAAAAACGCUUUUUUAUAAAAAAAAGACGAUAAGACCCUAAAGAACUUAACUUUAGUUAAGCUGGGGCGGCUAUUUAAAAAAAUCUUAUUUUUUAUACUUAUACACCCUUACUAAAUUUACCAAGUUACCUUAGGGAUAACAGCAUAAUUUAAUUUAACAGCUCUUAUUUAAAAUUAAGAUUAUGACCUCGAUGUUGAAUUAAAAAUCUACUAAAUGAAAAAAAUUAGUAAGAAAGUCUGUUCGACUUUUAAACAAUUACA